AACGAACGCUGGCGGCGUGCCUAACACAUGCAAGUCGUGCGAGAAAGUUCCUUCGGGAGCGAGUAAAGCGGCGCACGGGUGAGUAACACGUAGGUAACCUGCCCCCCCAGUCUGGAACAACUAGAGGAAACUCUAGCUAAUGCCGGAUGAGACCACGAUCCCUUCGGGGGUUGCGGCCAAAGAUGGCCUCUACUUGUAAGCUAUCGCUGAGGGAUGGGCCUGCGGGCCAUUAGCUUGUUGGUGAGGUAACGGCUCACCAAGGCUGUGAUGGCUAGCUGGUCUGAGAGGAUGACCAGCCACACUGGGACUGAGACACGGCCCAGACUCCUACGGAGGCAGCAGUGGGGAAUAUUGCGCAAUGGGCGAAAGCCUGACGCAGCGACGCCGCGUGGUGGAUGAAGGCCU
rnacentral:rRNA from 1 species